CUUUGAAUACAAACACAAGAGUGCACACGCUGAAAUGUCUCGCCUUCUAUACUAAUCAUUGAUAUUAUGUUGAUAGUCCUAAGUAAAAAGCUAAGCUUUAUAACAACUGUACCAUAAACUUAACAUUAACCAAGAUAACUAAACAAAGACCAAUGAACCUUGAAAAUGAGGUCAAGGUCAGAUGAACCAUGCCAGACAGACAUGUACAGCUAUCAAUGCUUCUAUACAACAUAUAUAGUUGACCUAUUACUUAUUGUCUAAGAAAACUUAACACUGUGCAAUGAACCGUGAAAAUGAGGUCACGGUCAAAUAAAACCUGCGCGACUGACAUAAAGAUCAUUAAAUAUUUCCAUACACCAAAUAUAGUUGACCUAUGGCAUAUAGUAUUAGAUAAAAAGACCAAAACUCAAAAACUUAACUUUGACCACUGAACCAUGAAAAUGAGGUCAAGGUCACAUGACAUCUGCCCGCUAGACAUGUACACCUUACAAUCAUUCCAUACAACAAAUAUAGUAGACCUAUUGCAUAUAGUAUGAGAACAACAGACAAAACACAAAAAUUUAACUAUAACCACUGAACCAUGAAAAUGAGGUCAAGGUCAGAUGACACCUGCCAGUUGGACAUGUACACCUUACAGUCCUUCCAUACACCGAAUAUACUAGCC
rnacentral:lncRNA from 1 species